rnacentral:sRNA from 1 species
GUAAGCUUGCCGCUGCCUGGACAGGAUUCACACAGUAAUUACCAGGUCGACAGUGCUGUUUCCAGGACAGAAUCAUUAAUCAGCGUUUCUGGCGAUGUCGACCCAGUAAUGAGAAAACACAUAGCAAUACUUUCUGGAUCGCUUUCAAGCUCUGUUGUGGGAGGGGCGCAGAGGAAUCGAUGGCAGCCGGUUUCCCUGAAUCGGAGCGGACGUUUCAAACAGCGCAGAGUGAGGAUAUAGAGAGAAAGCCCGUUGAAAGAAUUUUUCUCAGACAGUCUCUCACUGGAACCUAGAGCUCUUCAUUAGGCUACCCCACAGAUCGGCCUGUUUCUGCCUCCUCUCUGCUGGGACUGUAAGUGUGUGCCACUGUGUCCGGCUUUUCCCAUGAGUGCCUCGGUUUGAACUCAUGAUGCCAAGCUUACACAGCAAGUGCUUUGCCAACGAAGCCAGCUAUUCGACGUCUCUCAAGCUUCUCUCAGUUUUCUUGUUAAUGUUCCAUGCCCCAACUCCUCUAGUCUCCUGCGUGUUCAAGCCUCUCAUCUCACCGCUGCAUGGAGAUGGCUCUUGUGGUUUGACAAGAUCACAGUGUGGCAGAAGUGCGAUCACGGAUCACACGCUUCCCCAAGCACGCGAUGCUUUGGUGGUACCUGGUGACUUCAGCAUUGAUCGGUGUAUCAACUAUUCUGAAUGUCGCAUCUGGGUGUCACGUGAUCUGAUUUAGCGUUAUCUAAUCUGUGGGUGGUGGAGAAAGAACACCAUCUUUACAAUGCAACCAAGAGGAUACUUUGAGGAGAAAAACUGACCGGAGCUUUGUCAGAAAGUUUCCCCUUUCGCCUACUCUGAAGCGCCAUAAGCCUGGAACACAGUGGUGUACAAUCAUCAAAGCCUGUUCACAGAUGUUUGUUGGGGCGGAAUCAAGUUUGGUUUCAAGAGUGGCUGAAGUGAAGGCUACGACUUCUUGGACUCUUGUAUGAAAGACAGAAUGCUCUCCACAUAAAACAAAGGCUCAAGCUAUUCCAUUUCUCCUCUCCCAUCUGACCACUACACACAUUGUGAUGGCUCCUGCUGCAGGCUGGCCUCUGGGCGACAUUCUCCAUCCAUGUGGCACAGGAAGGAAACCAUGAUUGGCCUAAAUCAAGACAGCAUGCUGGGGAGGACCACUCAGGAAUGGAAGGAAAUCCAGGAGGGAACGUUUGUAAUUGGCAAAUCAAUCCGAGCCUACGGAAACUUGGACAGAUGGCCUUUUCAGAUCAGGUCUAAAGUAUUAUUUCUGGAAGGAAGCCUAGCACCUGUCUGGGUGUUAGCUUUGCAAUUACGGACGGCGUUUUGGGGCCGAUCCUGACAUCACAUUUGGUUCGCCGAUAGACGGGGGUGAACAUGUCAAGAAAAUGGAGGACGAUGACGAUGGAGCGAGACCUCGUUCCGUUUCCGAAGCUGAUAAUUUUGUUCCGAGUACGAGAAGUCUGAACGCCAGCGAUUCGACUUUCGCAUUAAAGGCACGUUUCCAGCCGCUUCCAAAAUUAAGUAAACAGAGCUGAGACGUACGGCCCCACCGAUCCACCAAUGUCAUAUGUCUAAUGAUUUUAGCAGCCUUCGGAAAACAGGACCGGAUGUAAAACUUCCUAUCAGAAUGUGUUACAGCCUCUGACGGCGAGCGCUUGCCAUUCAUCUGACGCCAAAGGUGUGAACCCGCACAUUACAGGAGUCAAAGGCUUUGCAUAAAACAAAACAAAGCCUCUUUCUCCGAGGCUUGCACUGUGAAGGGUGCGUAAUGACUCGUGAGACUAUGUCAAGAAAAUCAGUGAGAGGCACCGGGCUGAUACAUCUGCGGCUGGUCCGGGGAAGGCCGACUUUCUACAGGCUGCACCGGCCUUUGGAGGGAUAACGGAUCGGCGCCCACGCUAAUCUCUUGAUUUAUCCGUGAAAGCAUUGGGCUUUAAGAAGACUUCUUUGUGAGCUCAAUCCAAACUUGAGGCCAAUUUUAAGGACUGGAAAUAUUUUCUAGCUCUGGUGAGGCCACCAGAAGAGAGGAAUUCCCUGCUCUGUCCAUUUCAUGAAAGUGAAAAGAUCUCAUGAAGUUAGAAAUGGUCUCGUGGUAAGUGAGGUACUGAGAUAAAGGAGGUGCCUGGUGUUGCUAUGUGAUAAACAUUUACUUGGUCUUCUCUGUCUUAGGGUUUCAAUUGCUGUGAAGAGAAACCAUGACUACGGCAACCAUUACAAAGGAAAACAAUUAAUUGGGGCUGGCUUACAGUCCACUAUCACCAUGGCAGAAAGCUUGGUGACGGGAAAGUAGACAUGGGGCUGGUGAGGUAGCUGAGAGUUACACAUCUCAGUCAGUGGAUGGCAGGAAGAGAGAGAAGUCACUGGAGCUGCCUUGA